rnacentral:rRNA from 1 species
ACCGAAGGUCGAGGUAGUGACGAGAAUAACGAUACGGGACUCAUCUGAGGCCCCGCCAUCGGAAUGAGUACACUUUAAAACCGUCCCCGAGGAUCUAUUGGAGGGCAAGUCUGGUGCCAGCAGCCGCGGUAAUUCCAGCUCCAAUAGCGUAUAUUAAAGUUGUUGUGGUUAAAAAGCUCGUAGUUGGAUCUCGGCGGUCUGAGGGCGGUUCACUUGCUAGUGCUACUGCCCUAUAGACCGUAGUUUUGCCAGAGGUCUCAGGGUGCUCUUAAUCGAGUGUCUUGUGAUGCUGGCAGGUUUACUUUGAAAAAAUUAGAGUGCUCAAAGCAGGCUUUUACGCCUGAAUAUUCGUGCAUGGAAUAAUAGAAUAGGAAGUCGUUUCUAUUUUGUUGGUUUUCGGAAAUCGACUUAAUGAUUAAUAGGGACAGUCGGGGGCAUUUGUAUUCAAACGACAGAGGUGAAAUUCUUGGACCGUUUGAAGACAAACUACUGCGAAAGCAUUUGCCAAGAAUGUUUUCAUUAAUCAAGAACGAAAGUUAGAGGUUCGAAGGCGAUUAGAUACCGCCCUAGUUCUAACCAUAAACGAUGCCAGCUAGCGAUCUGCCGACGUUUUUUUUGUAGACUCGGCAGGAAGCUUCCGGGAAACCAAAGCAUUUGGGUUCCAGGGGAAGUAUGGUUGCAAAGCUGAAACUUAAAGGAAUUGACGGAAGGGCACCACCAGGAGUGGAGCCUGUGGCUUAAUUUGACUCAACACGGGAAAUCUCACCAGGCCCGGACACUGGAAGGAUUGACAGAUUGAUAGCUCUUUCUUGAUUCGGUGGGUGGUGGUGCAUGGCCGUUCUUAGUUGGUGGAGUGAUUUGUCUGGUUAAUUCCGAUAACGAACGAGACUCUGUCCUGCUAAAUAGUGUCCGCCUCUCUUCUGGGCGGACAAUUCUUCUUAGAGGGACUGGCGACUCUCAGUCGCACGAGAUUGAGCAAUAACAGGUCUGUGAUGCCCUUAGAUGUUCUGGGCCGCACACGCGCUACACUGAAUAGAUCAACGUGUUCCCCCUGUCCGAGAGGACCGGGUAAACCGCUGAACCCUAUUCGUGGUAGGGAUCGGGGCUUGCAAUUGUUCCCCGUAAACCAGGAAUUCCCAGUAGGCGCAAGUCAUAAGCUUGUGUCGAUUACGUCCCUGCCCUUUGUACACACCGCCCGUCGCUACUACCGAUUGAACGUUUUAGUGAGGUCCUCGGACUGUUUGGUAGGCGGAUUCGCUCCGCCUGCCUGGCG